UGGGGAAUAUUGGACAAUGGGCGCAAGCCUGAUCCAGCCAUACCGCGUGGGUGAAGAAGGCCUUCGGGUUGUAAAGCCCUUUUGUUGGGAAAGAAAAGCAGCCGGCUAAUACCCGGUUGUUCUGACGGUACCCAAAGAAUAAGCACCGGCUAACUUCGUGCCAGCAGCCGCGGUAAUACGAAGGGUGCAAGCGUUACUCGGAAUUACUGGGCGUAAAGCGUGCGUAGGUGGUUGUUUAAGUCUGUCGUGAAAGCCCUGGGCUCAACCUGGGAACUGCGAUGGAAACUGGGCGACUAGAGUGUGGUAGAGGGUAGCGGAAUUCCUGGUGUAGCAGUGAAAUGCGUAGAUAUCAGGAGGAACAUCCAUGGCGAAGGCAGCUACCUGGGCCAACACUGACACUGAGGCACGAAAGCGUGGGGAGCAAACA
rnacentral:rRNA from 1 species